GUGGGGAUUGUGCUGAGCAGCCCACAGGUGUCACCAUGCUUCCAACGGCAACAUAGCAGGCCCCAACUUACUGACCCAAACCCUAACUCUCACGUUUUUGGAAUAUGGACGAAGCUGGAGUACCUGGAGGAAACACGCAAUCUUGGGUAGAACAUACAAACUUCUUACAGACGAAUAGCAGUGGGAAUCCUACAACUGCCCCCCAUAAGGUCUAUGGCUGGAAUGAGGAGCCGCCUUUCACAGCCACUUGGCUGAGAUUAGCUGAUUCACAGUCCAGGUCUCAUUUCUGACAUUGCACUGAACUCACUGCAGUAACCAACAUCUGGGAUACCCAAGCUUGCAGCAGCUGUAAAAGCGUUUCAUGAACAUCAUCAGGUGCCAGAGUGGGAAAACUUUCCAAGGGGGCUCGGUGGGGGCGGUGGUAACAGUGACCCGGUACUGCACGCUUCCGGAGAACGGCG